GUUGUCGUGUCUUGGUGUGAGGGCUUGUGGCCUGGGACUGUGGCAGCCAUUCUUUCACCAUGAGGGGAUCCACCUGAGAAUGCAGCUUACAUUCUGAAGAUGGCAGAGUAGGAAGAACCUGGAAGCUGUUGAGCUGUGAAUUAUCCAACCCUGGAGCACCCUGCCUGAAGCCCUUUUCUUAGCAGAUCUCCCUCAUGCUGGGGUGGGCAGGAAGCGAAGAACACAGGAAGGAGGGAGUCAGAGGCUGAUGGCAGUUCCUGCUUCUCCAGUUUUAAGACCAAGACCCAGUUUCAGGCCUAUCAAUGUCAAGGGGAAAGGUAAAUCCUGCUCCAUCCAGGGCCAGAGGUAAACCCCCACCCCUUGCUCCACACCUCAGGGGUGUGCACCAUGGGGAGGGAGGGAGGCAGGACCUCCAGCCCCUCUCAGCUUCCUGAGAAGUCUUUGCCACCUGGGGACCCCUCCCUGCAUCCCCCUCCUAUGAUCUCCCAUCUGGGGCCUUGGUGAGAAGAGGCUGUUGGAAUGCCUCAGGAGACAUGGCAUGUGUCCCAGCCAGAGCCAUCUUGAUAGCAAAGCUGACACCACAAUCCCGAUGCCUAAUUGCAUGCCUUCUCCCUCUCACCUUCCCAGCACAGGGAGGUUGCUGAGAAGAGAACAUGAACACAGAGGCUAAGAGUGAAUGGGUCUUUUCUUUUUUUCUUUUUCUUUUUUUGGUUUCAGUUUUGUUUUGAGAUGGGGGUCUUGCUUUGUUGCCCAGGCUGGUGUUGAACUCCUGGUCUCGAGCGAUCCUCCUGCCUCAGACGCCUGAGUAGCUGGGAUACAAGCGUGCACCCCCAUGACAGGCUGAGUGGAUGCUUUGGAUUCAAACUCUGCUGUUGACGAAUACUGUUAGUUGCCUGUGUCAUACAUCUCCCACAGCCCCCCUUAUGCUACACCUUCUGCCACAUACACACCCUUCCUUACAGUGACAGCGAACCCAGCUCCAGGCAAUGGACUAUGACUGGUCUAAGCCAAGGGUCAGCAAACUACGGCCUGAGUGCCAAAUCUGAAUGCCCCCUGUUCUUACAUGGUACAUGAGCUAAAAUGGUUUUUAACACGUUUCAAAUGGUUGAAAACAUAAAAAUAAUAUUUUGUGACACAUGAAAAUUAUAUGAUAUUGAAGAUUUUUAAAAUUUCAAUGUAUAAUUUUUAUUUUUUUAUAGAGACAGGGUAUUGCUAUGUUGCCUAGGUUAGUCUCAAACUCCUGGCCUCAAGUGAUCCUCCUGCCUCGGCCUCCCAAACUGCUGGGAUUACAGGUGCGAGCCACUGCACCC
rnacentral:lncRNA from 10 species